UCUCUAUGUAACAUUUCAUCUUCUUCUGUCUCUUUCACUUGUCUUCUCUUUCUCAUCAUCAUCGACUGAUUGUUCCAAGUUGCAAGUUUAAAUUGCUUUAGGUGAUGGAAUUGGUUGAGAAAAAGAAAAAACCAUUUCAAGAGAAAGAAAGAGAAAAGAAAACAGAGAAAAAGGUAAAACAACAAUGGCGACCAUUGGAAAAGGUUAGUACCUGGUCUUGGGUUUGGUCUUCAGUGUUUACAUUGUGUAAUAUUAAUGGAAAAGGUUAAUUAGUGACAAUUAAAAUGUUACUUAAUUAUCGCCAAAGGCUAUUCAGGUUGGUCAACAUGAAAGAGAGAAAACAAACUUACCUGUAAUUCAGUUGGAAUUGUUCAUCGGUCGUUCAAUUAACCAGGAGAAAAAAAAGAAUCGGUGUUUUUGUUUUGUCUUUUUUUCUCUUUGGAGAAUUUUUUUUUUCUUCUUCAUUUUGAUGAUUGGAGACAAACAGAUAUUUGGAUUAUGUGAUUACAGGAAAUUCUCUCUUUUCUCUGGUGUGUAGAAUUUAAAUUGUUCGUCAACAAUUAACAUCAACUAAUAAUCGCGAAGAAACAAUUAAGAGGAUAAUAUUCAUCAUUUGCUUUGUAAUCAUGUCAAAAGUUGAGAGCCUCAAGGGUAAUGUUGGAUUUGGAUAAUUAUUGGAUUUCCUCUAAUUCUUAAUGAUGGUCAAUCGUUGUGGUCAAUCAAAUUGAUUUUGUCUCUCUCUCUCUUUUUGUUUCUCUCCAACCAUAACGUUAAUACAUGUGAACCAUAUUCUCGGGAUUGACCAUGAAAACAAAGAUGGAAGAAGACAAAAAUUAAUCUCUCUCUUGUGGUAAAAGAAACUAAAUCAAAGUGGCAAAUCAUCACUGGCUAACUAAUUAACUCUUAAAGUAAUUGGAAUAAUCAACAAUUAACUGAUCAUUAAUCCAUUUGGAAUCACUGGGAAUAAAAAUCAAGCCAAUGUUUAAAUAAUUGAUUUCAACAAUUAUCCACAAUUAAGUUUAUCAUCUCAACUAACUCAUUGGUGGAAAUACUCAUAUUGAAGACAAUACAAUUAUCAAGGGAAAAAAUCUGCGAACCCUUGAUUGUUGUUCCUUCAUGAUCAUGUCAUCAACAAUUGAAUAUUGAUUUUACCACAGAACGAGACUUGAGUAAAAAUUCAUAUCCAUGGAAGCACCUUAGGCUAUUUUCUGAAUUCAUGGUUAAUUUAAAUUAGUUUUCCCCUCCAAAUUGUUACCUAAUUAUUUUUCACUCUACGUGGCCCAAUGUCUAAUAUUUGUCAAUCGAUACAAUUUAACUUAUCAUCUCCAUGGUAAUUUCUUGCAUAAAGAUUCGUAUGGGCAGAAAGAGAUUGUGGUUUAUGACUAAGAAAAGAAAGGUAAAGGUGGAAAGAAGAGAAGAUGAAGAUGAUCAUCAAUAUCGAUCGUGAAUAGAAAAGAUUGGAUUAGAUUUUUUCAUCUUCUCCUGGAUUAUCCUGUUUCUUUUUCAUCUCAACAGUUUAAAUUUCAUCUUGUUCAUGUAAAAAUCAUCAUCAUCUUCAUCCUUACUCUUUUCUGGUUCCAUCCUUCUGGUUGCCAAAAAUCUUAAUUUAGAUUCUAAGUUAAGGUUAACCCAAAAGUUUCAUAAUUCAACUCAAAUAGUUAAUUGAGUUCGUUCAGAUUUGAUUGUUCCUCUUUUCUAGUCAAAAUAAUCGUUCCCAAGUCAAGAACCUAAACAAUACUAACCAAUCAGAACAAUCAGAACAAUCAAUUACUUGAAAAUUAAUUCUAAUUGUUACAAUUUACUUAUAAAUUCUUAAUUGUUGCUCGAUUCUCAUUGCGUUUUUUUCUGUUUUAUUUUAUU